CUGUUUUCUGUGUCAUUAAAUAUCUGUCAAGAGCACGAGUCUUCAAUCACUCAUCCCCCCUCCAGGGUGGGGUCCCACCCAGGGGCACUUUAUUUGUUAGGGAUGAUCUCCCUAAGUUGCCCACAUUGGCCUAAACUUGUGAUCUUCCUGCCUCAGCCUCCUGAAUACCUGGGAUUACAGAGUCUUCCUAUGUAGCCCAGGCUGGCCUCGAAUGCAGCAGUCCUCCUGCCUCAGCUUCCCAAAUGCUGGGAUCAGAGGCGUAUGCCCCCAUGCCGGCAUCUCUUCAUUUUCAAAUCAAGGAUAACAAUAACCACUACGGGACCAGGGAUUUAGCUCAGUGGUUUCGCCUCCUGCUGCACAAGCGCAAGGGCCCGAGUUCGAUCCCCGGUACCAAAAAAAACCCAAAAAACAGUAACCACUACAAUUGGCCUCUGCAUCAAUGGAUUCUGCAUCUGUAGAUUCAACUAACCAUAGAUGAGACAUUAAAAAUAUUGUAUCUUAAAAAAAAUUUUAAAAAUAUUGUAUCUGUACUGAACAUGAACCUGUCGUCAUCCCCUAAAUAAUAUAGCAAAACUACUGUUCACACAGCAUUUACAUGGUACUGUAAAUAAUCUGGAGACAAUUUCAAAUAUACAGGAGGAGUGCAUAUGCUAUAUGCAAAUACCGUGCCAUUUUUCAUAGGGGACUUGAGCAUCCUAGAUUUUGGUAUCCCAGGGGAUUUCAGAACCAACCCCUCAUAGAUACUGAGGAGCAGCUAUAUUGGGGAAAAGCAUUAUGUUUUACAAAUUAUUUUUGUAUAUUUACUUAGGUAUGCACAGAGUCCCAACUAUAUACUUGGCACUAUGGAAACACUGUGUCUAAAGAAGGAGACACAAUUCUUGCAUUUUUGGAAAUUCAGUC
ensembl:lncRNA